UUUCUGAAAUCUACUAGCCAUGCCUGCCACAGAUGACAGAACGUGGGUCUGAAAGUCAGGGAAACAGCCGACCUAGUUUAGUAGUCCUACUUGGUGAGAAGUGAGAGAAUAUGCAUUAUCCACCGUCGAAUGUCAAAGCAUGGUAUAAGAGUCUCUGACUUGAAUAAUUCCACUGACAUCGCAACGUUGGAUGCUCGGUGAUUACAGGGAUCCCAGGAUCUCAUCCAAAUUCUGGGUUCAGAAUGAUGGAAGGACGUCUCAGGUUCCGACGUACAAAGGUUCAGAGACUUCGUGUGCAAGAAUCCAUGCCACGUCUGGAUCCACCGGGAAUUGUCCGCACACUACAACUACAAACUGUUCGGCAUAGAUGAUAUUCUGUGCCAGCCCCCAACAGUCAAAGGCAUAGCGAUGGCAACCAUAAAGUCAUAAAUUAAAGCUCUAUAUUGGGGGACUCGGAAGGAAGUACAAAAAUAAAUUAAGACCAUAUUUUUUUCACCCAUUUUGGAACGAUAAACCCAUAUACAGUAUAAUAUAGACCAUUUUAAAUUAAGUUUAAAUAUUUCAUGCUUUUAUUAUUUAUUACGCGCUAGGAAUCUAAUUCAUUUAGAUUUGGAGUGCUUUCGCUGCCAGCCUCUCCCAGUCAAAAAUUGAUUGGAUGUCAAGCGCUGUCAAUGGCAGCCAAUGAGUUAAAUGUUGAUGUUUAUGGCUUGCAAAAAUAAGAAACCCUAAAAUUUUAUGUCUCAGAAUUACGAAAAAAAAAAAAUUCUGGGCCCUGCAACACAUUGUCUGUUAUUGCAGAAAUGUUGGUAUGGUUUUAGUUGCCACUUCUGGGAGAUGAUUGGAUGAAAUUUUACCCAUCAAAAUCAAAUUAUGAGGUGUGGCACGCCCUCUUUGCUUAUUGGCUCUUUGAAAAUGGCUUAACAAGUUCAACUUCAAAAGGGAUAAUGUAAAGUGCACAUUUCUAAUCAAAAACAUUCAUUCAUUCAUUCAUUUUCCAUGCCGCUUUUCCUCACGAGGGUCGCGGAGGUGCUGGAGCCUAUCCCAGCUAACUCGGGGCAGUAGGCAGGGGACACCCUGAACUGGUUGCCAGCCAAUUGCAGGGCACAAGGAGACAUACAACCAUUCACGCGCACACUCAUACCUACGGACAAUUUAGAGUGUUCAGUCAGCCUACCAUGCAUGUUUUUGGGAUGUGGGAGGAAACCGGAGUUCCCGGAGGAAACACACGCAGGCACGGGGAGAACAUGCAAACUCCACACAGGAAGGCCGAAGCCCGGGAUUGAACCCUUGAUCUUAGAACUGUGAGGCAGACGUGCUAACCACUCAGCCACCGUGCCGCUUAAUCAAAAACAUAACAUUAAAAAAAAAAAACAAUAAAAGCAUGAAAUAUCCCUGACCAAAAAAGUUAAAUAAAAUUAUAUAAAUGUGAACACUUUCACAGUCUAGGGCUAUGCACAUACAGAUGAGGCUAAUCAAUAACUAAAUUUGCCAUAUACGAUGUGUGCAUGUUUAGUUAUAUUUUAGGACUAGUUGGUUCAACUUUAAAUUACAUAUUUGCAGUUUUAUGUGAUGGUCCACAUGGUCAUCCCCCAUGUCGAUGUCAGUCCCAG